UCGAACGGAAUAACCACGAAAAUAUAAGAGAUUUUUUUAGAGCAGAAUAUGGAGAGAGAAGAAUUUAGAAAUCAAUUGAAUUUGUAAUUGAUUUGGUGUGUCAAAAACGAAUCUGGGGUUCUCUAUUUAUAGAGAUUGAAGUGUCUCAUGGAAUAGGUGUGUGACAUUUCAGGAACUGGUGCACCACUUGGUCUGAUUCGUCUUAGCCAUUG
rnacentral:lncRNA from 1 species